GACGAACGCUGGCGGCGUGCUUAACACAUGCAAGUCGAACGGAAAGGCCCUGCUUUUGUGGGGUGCUCGAGUGGCGAACGGGUGAGUAACACGUGAGUAACCUGCCCUUGACUUUGGGAUAACUUCAGGAAACUGGGGCUAAUACCGGAUAGGAGCUCCUGCUGCAUGGUGGGGGUUGGAAAGUUUCGGCGGUUGGGGAUGGGCUCGCGGCUUAUCAGCUUGUUGGUGGGGUAGUGGCUUACCAAGGCUUUGACGGGUAGCCGGCCUGAGAGGGUGACCGGCCACAUUGGGACUGAGAUACGGCCCAGACUCCUACGGGAGGCAGCAGUGGGGAAUAUUGCACAAUGGGCGGAAGCCUGAUGCAGCAACGCCGCGUGCGGGAUGACGGCCUUCGGGUUGUAAACCGCUUUCGCCUGUGACGAAGCGUGAGUGACGGUAAUGGGUAAAGAAGCACCGGCUAACUACGUGCCAGCAGCCGCGGUGAUACGUAGGGUGCGAGCGUUGUCCGGAUUUAUUGGGCGUAAAGGGCUCGUAGGUGGUUGAUCGCGUCGGAAGUGUAAUCUUGGGGCUUAACCCUGAGCGUGCUUUCGAUACGGGUUGACUUGAGGAAGGUAGGGGAGAAUGGAAUUCCUGGUGGAGCGGUGGAAUGCGCAGAUAUCAGGAGGAACACCAGUGGCGAAGGCGGUUCUCUGGGCCUUUCCUGACGCUGAGGAGCGAAAGCGUGGGGAGCGAACAGGCUUAGAUACCCUGGUAGUCCACGCUGUAAACGGUGGGUACUAGGUGUGGGGUCCAUUCCACGGGUUCCGUGCCGUAGCUAGCGCUUUAAGUACCCCGCCUGGGGAGUACGGCCGCAAGGCUAAAACUCAAAGGAAUUGACGGGGCCCCGCACAAGCGGCGGAGCAUGCGGAUUAAUUCGAUGCAACGCGUAGAACCUUACCUGGGUUUGACAUGGAUCGGGAGUGCUCAGAGAUGGGUGUGCCUCUUUUGGGGUCGGUUCACAGGUGGUGCAUGCCUGUCGUCAGCUCGUGUCGUGAGAUGUUGGGUUAAGUCCCGCAACGAGCGCAACCCUUGUUCACUGUUGCCAGCACGUUAUGGUGGGGACUCAGUGGAGACCGCCGGGGUCAACUCGGAGGAAGGUGGGGAUGACGUCAAGUCCUCAUGCCCCUUAUGUCCAGGGCUUCACGCAUGCUACAAUGGCUGGUACAGAGAGUGGCGAGCCUGUGAGGGUGAGCGAAUCUCGGAAAGCCGGUCUCAGUUCGGAUUGGGGUCUGCAACUCGACCUCAUGAAGUCGGAGUCGCUAGUAAUCGCAGAUCAGCAACGCUGCGGUGAAUACGUUCCCGGG
rnacentral:rRNA from 1 species